UCCUGACUGACCGAUAGUGAACCAGUACCGUGAGGGAAAGGCGAAAAGAACCCCGGCGAGGGGAGUGAAAAAGAACCUGAAACCGUGUACGUACAAGCAGUGGGAGCACGCUUAGGCGUGUGACUGCGUACCUUUUGUAUAAUGGGUCAGCGACUUAUAUUCUGUAGCAAGGUUAACCGAAUAGGGGAGCCGAAGGGAAACCGAGUCUUAACUGGGCGUUAAGUUGCAGGGUAUAGACCCGAAACCCGGUGAUCUAGCCAUGGGCAGGUUGAAGGUUGGGUAACACUAACUGGAGGACCGAACCGACUAAUGUUGAAAAAUUAGCGGAUGACUUGUGGCUGGGGGUGAAAGGCCAAUCAAACCGGGAGAUAGCUGGUUCUCCCCGAAAGCUAUUUAGGUAGCGCCUCGUGAAUUCAUCUCCGGGGGUAGAGCACUGUUUCGGCAAGGGGGUCAUCCCGACUUACCAACCCGAUGCAAACUGCGAAUACCGGAGAAUGUUAUCACGGGAGACACACGGCGGGUGCUAACGUCCGUCGUGAAGAGGGAAACAACCCAGACCGCCAGCUAAGGUCCCAAAGUCAUGGUUAAGUGGGAAACGAUGUGGGAAGGCCCAGACAGCCAGGAUGUUGGCUUAGAAGCAGCCAUCAUUUAAAGAAAGCGUAAUAGCUCACUGGUCGAGUCGGCCUGCGCGGAAGAUGUAACGGGGCUAAACCAUGCACCGAAGCUGCGGCAGCGACGCUUAUGCGUUGUUGGGUAGGGGAGCGUUCUGUAAGCCUGCGAAGGUGUGCUGUGAGGCAUGCUGGAGGUAUCAGAAGUGCGAAUGCUGACAUAAGUAACGAUAAAGCGGGUGAAAAGCCCGCUCGCCGGAAGACCAAGGGUUCCUGUCCAACGUUAAUCGGGGCAGGGUGAGUCGACCCCUAAGGCGAGGCCGAAAGGCGUAGUCGAUGGGAAACAGGUUAAUAUUCCUGUACUUGGUGUUACUGCGAAGGGGGGACGGAGAAGGCUAUGUUGGCCGGGCGACGGUUGUCCCGGUUUAAGCGUGUAGGCUGGUUUUCCAGGCAAAUCCGGAAAAUCAAGGCUGAGGCGUGAUGACGAGGCACUACGGUGCUGAAGCAACAAAUGCCCUGCUUCCAGGAAAAGCCUCUAAGCAUCAGGUAACAUCAAAUCGUACCCCAAACCGACACAGGUGGUCAGGUAGAGAAUACCAAGGCGCUUGAGAGAACUCGGGUGAAGGAACUAGGCAAAAUGGUGCCGUAACUUCGGGAGAAGGCACGCUGAUAUGUAGGUGAAGUCCCUUGCGGAUGGAGCUGAAAUCAGUCGAAGAUACCAGCUGGCUGCAACUGUUUAUUAAAAACACAGCACUGUGCAAACACGAAAGUGGACGUAUACGGUGUGACGCCUGCCCGGUGCCGGAAGGUUAAUUGAUGGGGUCAGCGCAAGCGAAGCUCUUGAUCGAAGCCCCGGUAAACGGCGGCCGUAACUAUAACGGUCCUAAGGUAGCGAAAUUCCUUGUCGGGUAAGUUCCGACCUGCACGAAUGGCGUAAUGAUGGCCAGGCUGUCUCCACCCGAGACUCAGUGAAAUUGAACUCGCUGUGAAGAUGCAGUGUACCCGCGGCAAGACGGAAAGACCCCGUGAACCUUUACUAUAGCUUGACACUGAACAUUGAGCCUUGAUGUGUAGGAUAGGUGGGAGGCUUUGAAGUGUGGACGCCAGUCUGCAUGGAGCCGGCCUUGAAAUACCACCCUUUAAUGUUUGAUGUUCUAACGUGGACCCGUGAUCCGGGUUGCGGACAGUGUCUGGUGGGUAGUUUGACUGGGGCGGUCUCCUCCUAAAGAGUAACGGAGGAGCACGAAGGUUGGCUAAUCCUGGUCGGACAUCAGGAGGUUAGUGCAAUGGCAUAAGCCAGCUUGACUGCGAGCGUGACGGCGCGAGCAGGUGCGAAAGCAGGUCAUAGUGAUCCGGUGGUUCUGAAUGGAAGGGCCAUCGCUCAACGGAUAAAAGGUACUCCGGGGAUAACAGGCUGAUACCGCCCAAGAGUUCAUAUCGACGGCGGUGUUUGGCACCUCGAUGUCGGCUCAUCACAUCCUGGGGCUGAAGUAGGUCCCAAGGGUAUGGCUGUUCGCCAUUUAAAGUGGUACGCGAGCUGGGUUUAGAACGUCGUGAGACAGUUCGGUCCCUAUCUGCCGUGGGCGCUGGAGAACUGAGGGGGGCUGCUCCUAGUACGAGAGGACCGGAGUGGACGCAUCACUGGUGUUCGGGUUGUCAUGCCAAUGGCACUGCCCGGUAGCUAAAUGCGGAAGAGAUAAGUGCUGAAAGCAUCUAAGCACGAAACUUGCCCCGAGAUGAGUUCUCCCUGACCCUUUAAGGGUCCUGAAGGAACGUUGAAGACGACGACGUUGAUAGGCCG
rnacentral:rRNA from 1 species